CCUUAGAGUUUGAUCCUGGCUCAAGACGAACUCUGGCGGCGUGCUUAACACAUGCAAGUCGAACGAAAAGAGGGAAAGAGCUUGCUCUUUCCGGAAUUGAGUGGCAAACGGGUGAGUAACACGUAAACAACCUGCCUUCAGGAUGGGGACAACAGACGGAAACGACUGCUAAUACCGAAUAAGUUCCAAGAGCCGCUUGGCCCAUGGAAGAAAAGGUGGCCUCUACCUGUAAGCUAUCGCCUGAAGAGGGGUUUGCGUCUGAUUAGCUGGUUGGAGGGGUAACGGCCCACCAAGGCGACGAUCAGUAGCCGGUCUGAGAGGAUGAACGGCCACACUGGAACUGAGACACGGUCCAGACUCCUACGGGAGGCAGCAGUGGGGAAUCUUCCGCAAUGGGCGAAAGCCUGACGGAGCAACGCCGCGUGAGUGAUGACGGCCUUCGGGUUGUAAAACUCUGUGAUCCGGGACGAAAAGGCAGAGUGCGAAGAACAAACUGCAUUGACGGUACCGGAAAAGCAAGCCACGGCUAACUACGUGCCAGCAGCCGCGGUAAUACGUAGGUGGCAAGCGUUGUCCGGAAUUAUUGGGCGUAAAGCGCGCGCAGGCGGCUUCCCAAGUCCCUCUUAAAAGUGCGGGGCUUAACCCCGUGAUGGGAAGGAAACUGGGAAGCUGGAGUAUCGGAGAGGAAAGUGGAAUUCCUAGUGUAGCGGUGAAAUGCGUAGAGAUUAGGAAGAACACCGGUGGCGAAGGCGACUUUCUGGACGAAAACUGACGCUGAGGCGCGAAAGCGUGGGGAGCAAACAGGAUUAGAUACCCUGGUAGUCCACGCCGUAAACG
rnacentral:rRNA from 1 species